rnacentral:rRNA from 1 species
UCUGGCCUGAAAUCAGGUAGGACUACCCGCUGAACUUAAGCAUAUCAAUAAGCGGAGGA